UUUACUGAGAGUUUGAUCCUGGCUCAGGACGAACGCUGGCGGCGUGCCUAAUACAUGCAAGUCGUGCGGGCCUUGUUG
rnacentral:rRNA from 1 species